rnacentral:rRNA from 1 species
AGAAUCAACGCUGGCGGCGUGCCUAACACAUGCAAGUCGCACGAGAAAGGGUAGCAAUACCUGAGUACAGUGGCGCACGGGUGAGUAACACGUGAAUAAUCUACCUCCGAGUGGGGAAUAACUGAGAGAAAUCUUAGCUAAUACCGCAUAAUACCCACGGGUCAAAGCAGCAAUGCGCUUGGAGAGGAGUUCGCGGCAGAUUAGUUAGUUGGCGGGGUAAUGGCCCACCAAGACGAUGAUCUGUAUCCGGCCUGAGAGGGCGCACGGACACACUGGAACUGAAACACGGUCCAGACUCCUACGGGAGGCAGCAGUGGGGAAUUUUGCGCAAUGGGGGAAACCCUGACGCAGCAACGCCGCGUGGAGGAUGAAGCCCCUUGGGGUGUAAACUCCUUUCGAUCGGGAAGAUAAUGACGGUACCGAUAUAAGAGCCCGGCUAACUUCGCGCCAGCAGCCGC